rnacentral:rRNA from 1 species
UACGUAGGGUGCGAGCGUUAAUCGGAAUUACUGGGCGUAAAGGGCGCGUAGGCGGCCACCGCAAGUCGACUGUGAAAUCUCCGGGCUUAACCCGGAAAGGUCAGCCGAUACUGCGGGGCUAGAGUGCAGAAGGGGCAACUGGAAUUCUCGGUGUAGCGGUGAAAUGCGUAGAUAUCGAGAGGAACACCUGCGGCGAAAGCGGGUUGCUGGGCUGACACUGACGCUGAUGCGCGAAAGCUAGGGGAGCGAACGGG